rnacentral:lncRNA from 1 species
UAAAAUUGUCAAUGUAUUAAGCUGAAUCAUGCUUUUGAAGUUUUAGAAUGUAACAACAAUAUACACCUGUAUUUAAUGUAAUAUAAAAGAAAGUUGAUGAAUAGUGAUGAAGUUGGUUUAUAUAUAACCUUGACUGAUGAAGUUGGUUUAUAUUUGACCUUGACCUAUGAAGUUAGUUUAUAUUUGACCUUGACUGAUGAACGUGCUGGAUACUGUGCUGUUUGUUAAGUAUUACUGUUAUGUUUCUCGUUAAUUGUUUGAUCAAAGUUUAUUUGUCAUUUUUGUUUUGCAAUAGAUAGCUAGUGGUUGAGAAAGGGAUUUUAAAAAUCUCUUUCUGUGUAUAAAAAAAGUACUGUAAAUCUUAUAUGACAUGUACUUUCUAUAUCUGACGCAGCGUUUUUAUUUAUGUUUCAGUCAAUUGUUUUAUUGAAAUGGCAUGGUGACACUACAUAUUGUUUUGAAUAUUAUCUAAAUAUUAUAAAGCUAGGAUUAUGACAUCACAAUUUCAUGUUCUAAUAUUUGUUAUAAUAUCAUGUAUUUCAAAGUUUUAGUAAGGACUAACAUUGUAUGUAACCAUCCACUUUAGAGAGUUAAGGAGUCGUUUCUAUUUGUUGAAGCACACUAAUGCUAAUGACUUUGGCUCUAACCAAUUAUGAUGAAAUGUAGCCAAAGCACUGGUGAUAAAGUUACUGAUUGAUAUGUUUGACAAUGUAAAUGCUUUGAAUUCUUAAUACUUAGUAUUUAGUGUGACAUGGAUAGACUAAUUGAGGAAUCCAGAUAUUUUGUUCUUUUUCUAGACUUUAUAAACAUUAUUUUUAUAUUUUGGGACAAUGUAUACUUGCUUCAACUCUAAAUAACUAAAAAGUAGUGUUGAAUAGUGUAAUUGCUGCAAAAAAUUAUUUUAUUUCAUUACUUCUAAAAUAUAUAAUAUCCUUACAAAAUGAAAGACAGGGAAGUUAAUUGGCCAAAACAACAUGUUACUUUCAAUUUCUUCAGGUUUAAAACAGAAAUCUCAUUGACUUUGAAACAUUUAAAUUAAACAUUAAGAUCUUAGAAUACAAUUCACAAACAACUAAAAGUAAAAGUGUUGAAUACACAAGAAUAAUGCAUUUUUAAGAAAUUCUGAAAGUUUUACUAUUAAAAUUUGUUAUUUACCCCUUAAAGUUUGAAUUAGAGGCUUUACAGAGAAUGCACAGCUUUAUUUAUUUCACAUAGGUCAGAUUCCAAAGUAAUGUAAUAUUGGAUAUCAAUUACGGCUUAAAUAAAUGUUAUUCAAGCAUUGAUCUAAAUGGCAGCGUUUAUCUAUAAUAUUUUGUUUUAGUAAUCAUAAAUAUUUAUUCUAUAUACAAGUUGAUAAAUUAAUAGCAGACAAUUCUGUAAUAUAAAUAUCAGUAUAUAAAUCUGCUGGAAUGAACUUGUGUGAGUGUGAAUGCCAUACCCAGUGAAGCAUACAAGUGCUAUAUGUGUGAACAUUGUUCAUUUAUUCUAUGAAUCAUAACACAAAGUUUUAGAUGAAUCUUCUGAAUGAAUUAUAUAAGAUAUCUAGAGAAAAAUAUUUUGAUACCAAACAUGAUCGUCUACUUCUAUCAAAUUGUAUCUGUCAUAAAUAAGUGAGGCUUAUUUUAGACAAUAAUAUUUUGGAAAAUUACUGAAAUGAUAAAUAAUAAAAUUCUUUUGAUUUUUAAGAAUGAUAGUUGCCAUCAAAAGUUAUCACAAAAUAUAUAAAUUUAUGGAUGAAAAAUUGUGGUUUCAAGGAAUUCACAUGGACAUAUAGUAGUUUGCACUGUGUAAAUAGUUUGUCAACUGAAAUUAUCUAGUCACAGUAUUUUCUAUACUAAUCAGGAGUCGGUUUCACAAAACAACUUACGACUAAGAUCUUAAGUAUAUGGAAUUGUUCAUGACUUACUAUCAAUCUUAAUCGUAAGUUUUUUUUGUGAAACCAACUCUAGGCGUGCACAAAACACUGACAAGAUAAGGCCAUUUCAAGAUGAUAAAUGUGCUGUUCGGUGUGAGCCAAGGGCAGCACCAUGUUAAAGACCAAACUUCUACCUAAUGGUUUACUUUUACAAAUUGUGACUUAGACGGAGAGUUGUCUCAUUGGCACUCAUACCAUAUCUUCUUAUAUCUAUAAAUAAGAAAAUAUUGAAAGACAUUUCUGCAAAUAUUUUGAAAUAUAUUUAAAAUCUUAUAAUUCUCUGACAGACAUAUAAUAUACCGGUAGUAAAAUAAAAGGGAUCAGUUGUUAAAAAUGAACCUAAGGUCAAUAAAGGUACCAGGAGCAUGGGGCCAUUUUACUAAAGAUGCAUUCUGAAAAUGAUAAACUCCUGUCAAAAUAACAAAGUUUGCUGUAAGUGAAAUAGAAGGGCUCAAGGAAUUUUGUUACAGGGAGAAGUUUUGGUAAAGUUGAAAAUAAAUAAUGGGACUUUUUCCUGUAUAAUUGUUGGGGAAAAGUGGAAGCUGCAAGUACAAUUGUUAAAGAGAUUUAACCUGUUUUUCCUUUUGUUCAGUCCAUAUAAUAUAUUCAUAGUUCAGAUAUGAUAGGAUCUCCUAAAUGACUAGAUAACUGAUAACUUAAGGUUUUGUGUGUUUCAUUUUGUUUUAUCAUCUCAUAUAUGUAGGCAAAUUCAGUCAAAUUAGUAUUUAAACAAUUUUUAGUGCUGAGUAAUUUUUACAUCUGAUUUCUUUCACAGUAUGCCAUGUUAAGACAUGAAGAACAUGUGAGAACAUUUGCCUUCAUUUAUUGUCCAUUUUCUUAAUCCUACCAGUUAAAUAACUCGUCUGUGUUUAUUACUUCAAAAAAUUUGUAAAUUGUAAUGUUUUUUCGUGAGUAAUUUGUCUAAAUUAACAUAACAUAAACUUCAUAUGUACAAAUGUAAAUUACGAAUCAUGAUAUUACAUUUUUUCAUUACAUAUUGCUCAUUAAUGGUGAUGCUGAGUAUCAUUUCUUCAGUUGAUGUCCCUCUAAAUGUGCCCUUGUAGACUGUUAAUGUAAUCCCUAUAGCUAUAUUCAUAAUUCUCUAUUGAACACAGCUGCCUUUUAGUCUUAUUUUAUAUUUAUUUUGUUCUAUUGUUAAAUUUUUAAAAAGACUUGUUUUCUUUAUUUAUACUUUAAUUAAUCUUUGAAUUUUAAUUCACCUGAAGAAAGGUAAGGGAGAAUUUUUUUUGAGAACCUUGACAUCAAUAUAAACUUGCAUCUUCAGACAACUAAAAAGGAGAUAAUCUUGCAAUGUGUUCAUAUAAGGAAGUAAAAAGCAUUACAAGAAGGUUAUGAGACAAGUAUUUCAUGGUUCAAUGAUUUUGGCUAUGGUUUAAUGCCCAAUAGAGUCUUGUGGAGUUUCACAUAAACAUUGAUAUCUCAGAAGCAAGAGGUAAUGGAAUUAAUCAACUUGUUCAAAUGAGUGUUAAGUUAAAGGCAUCCUGGCAAAAGUGGGUUUCUGUUACCUGCUUUUCAUGCUUCACUGACUUUGUAAAGAUAGAUAACAGAGUCAUAUUUUGACACCUUUAAAUAAGAGAAUCAUCUCUAUAAAAGGUCACUCUGACCUAUAGUCUACACUUCAUCGAUUUUGGUCUGUAUUACACCCAAUUUUGAUAUUGCAUCUUUAUGAAGUAGGAUAAUUUAAUCGUGUAUUGAAAUUAGGCUCGAGUAGUAACUGAGCAUUCAGUCAAAAGAAUAUUGAGACAUACUUUCCAAUCAUAGAUUACCUAUGUUUAUAUGUGUGUUUUCUUUAAUAAACACACAAAUAGUUUUGAAUGGCACAUAUGUACUUUCUUUGUUAAAGAACAAUCUAUUUAUGAUACCGGUAACAAAAACUGUUGUUUCUUAUUGCACUUUACAUGUAUAAUACAAAUUCUAUUUAUUUUUGUUGUUAUUUAUAAGAGUUUAUUAGAAAUAAAUAGCUAUAGAAUAACACACACUGUGAUGGUAUAACAAUUACAAUCCAUGACAAAUUUACCUGUAAUUAAUAGGUGUUACAGGGACAAACUUGUAGACUUGGUUGGUAAAGGCAAACAAAAAAUGAAAGUACUUUAUAAACAAUAUUCAUUUUGCUUGCAUUUAAAGGGGUUGAUAAAUUUGUUCAAUGGAGUAACCUUCAACUGUUAGGGGUCAAUCAUAAAAAUUCUUACAGUCCAAAUGAUUUGGAUCAACACUGGUAGAUUUAUUUAUUUACCUUUUUUUUUUUAGAAAAAUGAGUAAACAAUAUUGGGAUCAGUUUUGGAAAAUAAGAAAGUAGUUUCAAACUCAAUAUGGUGAUUUAUAAAAAUUAAACAGUAACAGCAGGAUUAUUGUCAAUUUUCAUGUACACUAUACAGUUUUGGUUUCUUCAUUAUCAGGGUUUCUCUGUCCUAAGAAAUAUACCUGUAAACAAACUUAAUUAAAAAGCUUUUAAAAUCGGGUAAUGUGUUCAUAUUUUCAUUACAUUCUCACUUUGUUUAUUUGAGAGAAAUGAAGUUUUUAAUAUUUUUAACUUUUAUUUCUAAAUGUAAUGAUUUGGCGUAGAAAGUCUUUUUUUAUUCAUUUUUUUUUACAUAAAAUCUUGUCAUGGUUUGAUAUAUAAUUUGUUGUAAAGACUUUUACUUAAUUUCAUUAUCACCUGUCCUAAACUCAAUGAAAACCAGUCACAAAAAUAUAAUAUUUAACUGUUCUAUUGAUGCAUUCAUUAAAGAUGUAGCAGUUUUAUAUACAAAAAAGAAAAAUGUAGAUUAAUGUUGACUUAAUCCAAAUAAUAAACUUGUGUUUCCUAACAUUACCAAUAUUUAUGCUACUUUUUCUAUCUGAGAUUUGGUUUAUUGAUUACACACCAUUUUAUUUAGUCUGAUAGUUUUAUCCGAAGUAACUAAUUGAGGAUAAAAUAAUUGUCUUUCUACCAACCCUGUCAUGAAAACAAAGGUAUUUUUAUUGUUGCUGCUGAAUCACUUUGCAGCUCCAGAUUUUUAUUUAAUUUAUUGAUUUUAUGAAAUUAUUGUUUUCUUUAUGUAAGAUUAUGUUGACUAUGACAAUAACAUUUUUCUAGAUUUGCUUCUAGUUGCUAUAGAAUAUGUAUAAUUACUUUAAUCACAGAUUUAAUUUUUUAUUUAUCAAAGUUUGAUGUGAAAGCAUUUAAAUCAAAAUCAGUGUUGUAAAUUUGUCACAACCUUUAAUCAUAUAAGCAUUGGUUAAAAGCCAUGAUGUAAGACCAUCUAUGUCAGAUUUAUUCUACCUAGCUAAAACUUAUUUUGAUCAAAAAGAUACAAAUUUUUAAAAACCUUUCAAUUGAGGUAGCUGUGUUCCGAGGCUGCAUUUGAUUCUCUGAUUCUUGUAUUUAUAUGAACAUACAGAUUCUAUUUUAUUUCAAAGUACUUAUUUUUAUAUGACCGCGAAAAUGUUUGCGGUUGUAUAUUGUUUGUUCUAUAUUGACUUUGUGAUAAUUUAUAAUAUUAUAUUUGUCUUUUUAAAAAUACGUAUAUGUAUAAAAAUCUAUUUUUCUGUUGACCAAAUCUUAAUCUACUUGUACCGGUAAUCUGAAUGAAAUAUGUACUGAGAAGAUUGUUAUAGUGUUUACUUUUCCCGUACAAUAUUUCUAAAUCGUAGCUAAUUUAGUAUAGCCUUUUCAUGUAAAUACAUCUUUUGUAUGUAUGUCCAAUCUUUUUUUAGUCCGGCUUAUUACCGUUGUAAAGAGGGAUUCAUCAUUGUUGUCAUCUGUUUGUCACAUGACCGUUGUCCAGGCAGCGAGACUUCUCGUUAAACUGGAAAUAAAUAUGUACUUACAUUUCGAUUUCUUGUCUUAUUUAUCACAUGUUCAUUAGAGGGAUCUAUGAUACCCAAUUGUUCUUAGAUCUGUUAUGCAGACAGUUCAAUGAACCUUUACUUAUUAAAUAAUUAGAGUAAGGGUUGUUGAUCAAAUUUUACUAAUUAAGAACAAGAUUUUGUUAUACAAUGUAAUUGUAAACUACAUUAAAAUGUGUGUACACUGAACUCCUUUGAGCUGUGUAAGUUUUGCAGGUUGAGAUAUUGAGCCA